rnacentral:rRNA from 1 species
CAGUAGCCACGGUAAUACAGAGGAUGCAAGCGUUAUCCGGAAUGAUUGGGCGUAAAGCGUCUGUAGGUAGCUUUUCAAGUCCGCCGUCAAAUCCCAGGGCUCAACCCUGGACAGGCGGUGGAAACUACCAAGCUAGAGUACGGUAGGGGCAGAGGGAAUUUCCGGUGGAGCGGUGAAAUGCGUUGAGAUCGAAAAGAACACCAACGACGAAAGCACUCUGCUGGGUCGACACUGACACUGAGAGACGAAAGCUAGGGGAGCAAAUGGGAUUAGAUACCCCCGUAGUCCCUGUCUCUUAUAA